GAAUCCUCACGUGUAGCGUCCGCGUGACGAUGACGGCGAUUCCUGGAGGUUCGAGUUCGCGUAAAUAAACGUAGAAACGCGCCUGCGAACCUCGCCAUGUCAAUUAAUGAGCAAAAUGAACACAAUGGAGGGAAAGUCAGAACCGAGAAGGGGCUCGAUGAACAAGUUCGAAGAAGUCAAAACAUGUCUCGCUAUCGUGAGUGGGAUCUGUCCUGCAAGGUUUAUGUUGGUAACUUGGGCAGCAGUGCUAGUAAACACGAGAUUGAAAGUGCAUUUAGUAAGUAUGGUCCUUUGAGAAAUGUGUGGGUAGCCAGAAACCCACCUGGCUUCGCAUUUGUGGAGUUCGAAGACCCACGAGAUGCUGAAGAUGCAGUGAGAGGACUGGAUGGAACUCGGUGCUGUGGUACUAGAGUAAGAGUUGAGAUGUCAUCUGGAAGAAGCCGCCGUGGAGGUGGCGGCCGUAGGCCUGGUCCUCGAUAUUCCAGGUCCAGGUCGCGCAGCCCCCGUAGGAAAUCCCUUGGUCGUUACCCGAGAUCCUGGUCGAAAAGUCCACGGAGAUCAUCGAUUAAUCGCUACUCCAGAUUCUACCAGCGUCAGCUCCUAGCUCUGCUCGUCUCCCCGCCACUACUACUACUUCUACUACUACUACUACUACUGCUACUACUACUACUUCUACAGCCGCCGUGAAAAAAAAGCGUAUGCGUACGCGAACCAAAAAAAAUAUGCGAAUCGACAGUCUCGCAAUCGUCAAUCGAACAAAACUGAACAAAAAAAAAUAUGCCUGCCUGCCCACUAACUUCCCAACCAAGUCACCAUCAGUCACCACCAAGUCACCGAAUAUAUAGGAAGCCGUCCGUACGUCUGUCACGUCACGUCACGUCACGUCACGUCACGUCGCCCGUCGAUGUUGUGCGUUGUGGUGUUGCGACGUGCAUACAGCACACAACGGCGCAACAACCGAAAACAACAGUUUCCGUGCGCCGUCGCUGCUGCCGGAGUACCGCCAGUGCCCGAGACUGCCACCUUCGGAAAGAAAGAAAAAAAGAGCCAAAACGUUGCUUUUUUUCAUUGCUGUCCCUCUCCCCCGUCGUUGCACUGCAAAAAAUCGUCUUGAAUCGAAAUAUAAAAAAAAAUCGUCUAUCGCUCCACUGCGGGAUUCUCCCCUUCGAUCACCACUACUAUUAUUACUACUACUCUUCCAACCACAACAACCACCACCACCACCACCACCAACCGACCAAUCGACCGAUCACCGGGUGUUGUGAUCUACUUUCUUCGGCUCUUCGUUUCAGCUUUAGCCCGGGGGACGGCGGCACACAUCGACUUUAUCACGAAAAAUAAAAUUUGCCACCGUCACCGUCAGAAAAAUGUCACCCACAACCGGCCGCCGCCACCACCAGUUCGUGAACAAAGCAAUCGCGAUGCAAACUAUAUAUAUAAAAAAAAAAAGAAUUAAAUCGUCUGUACAGUAAUUCUGUUCAUCGGCGCGUCUCUCCAUUUGACUACGAUCGACUGUCUUCCGUUUCGAAACCGACGUUUCUAUUCUGCCACUGCUACUAGUAUUACCACUACUGCUACUUCUACUGCCACUGCCACUACUCGUCGACCAUCACUUAGGGACGUGUUUAGCCACAACAAGAACUGAACGCGCGAGAGUUGCCGCCGAGAGAUCUUCUCGACCUUCGACUCCUCGAGCGAAAUCACGCAAAAUAAGUGAAAUGAAUCACCACCUACUACACACCAUCCCACCACCACCCAACUACCACCACCACCACCACCACUACUACAUGUUCAAAAUUGGUCCAGAUCUCGCAGUCCUCGCAGGAGAUCACUGACCCGGAGCCGUAGCCGAGACCGUCGCUCGCGUUCGGACUCCCGUGACAGACGUUAGAUGCUAAAAGUUCAAGAAAGAGAAAGUGAUAGAUAGAAAGAGAGAGAAAGAGAAAACCGAACGACUUUAUGUGCCGGAUGGAAGACAAAGAAAAAGAUAAAACGACAGACAAUUUUGUAUAAGAAUCAAUUAUUAAUCACACAUACAUACCACACGUUCACGCUUUAAAUUAUAAACGACCAUGAUAAAAAUACAACAGAAAGCAGAAUAAAAGACAUUUCGACGAAUUUAAUGCAGAUUUAGUUCGCAAUUUGUAAGUUCGUAAGUUAUCUUUCUAAGGGCGCAUUCAAAUUAGAUGCGGAAAAGCAAAAAUCGAAUCACUUAUACAAUAUACCGAUAAUAAAACAGCUACCAGUAUAACUUUUGAUCGAUUUUUAUAAUUUCUAAUUUUCCGCUGUGUGUGUGUGUCCUAAGGAUGAAUGCGCUCUAAGUUUCAUAUAUUAUAUAUGUACACAUACUUAAAAAUUGUAGUGCACGACAUAGCAUAUUACACAAUUCGAAUAAUACUAUAUUAUAUUAAGGACUCCGCUAUAACAUAAAACUACAAAGCAAGUUAUUAUUCUAUAUCCAUUAUUAUCAUUACAUUUAGAGAGAUUUCAUGAUUAAUUAUAAUAAUAAAAAUAAUAAUAAUAAUAAUAAUAAUAAUAAAGGCCCGAAAGUUUGCGCAAAACCCGGCGUCGCUGGAUACUGCUGCGUGCUAGUUCUAUGUGUGACGAACGACUGAACGUACAUAUGCGCACAUGUCGACAAUUGCACGUAGUGAUGCACAACCCGGAAUUUCACACGCAAACUUCUGGGAUCUAAUUAUUAUUAUUAUCAUUAAUUAUCGUUGAGGUGAGUUUAUUAAUUAUCUGCUAUUUGAUAAAAGAAUGAGAAAAGAUUUUUUUCUUUCAAUACAUUGUUUUAUAUACUUGUAUUAGAAUGACUUGUAUUAGAAAUAUACAAUAAAUUUGUGAAUAAUCAGUGUA